UACAGAGGAUGCAAGCGUUAUCCGGAAUGAUUGGGCGUAAAGCGUCUGUAGGUGGCUUUUUAAGUCCGCCGUCAAAUCCCAGGGCUCAACUCUGGACAGGCGGUGGAAACUACCAAGCUGGAGUACGGUAGGGGCAGAGGGAAUUUCCGGUGGAGCGGUGAAAGUGCGUAGAUAUCGGAAGGAACGCCGGUGGCGAAAGCGGCGUGCUGGACCCCUUCUGACGCUGAGGCGCGAAAGCCAGGGGAGCAAAGCGGG
rnacentral:rRNA from 1 species